UACGUAGGGAGCAAGCGUUAUCCGGAUUUAUUGGGUGUAAAGGGUGCGUAGACGGGAAGGCAAGUUGGUUGUGAAAUCCCUCGGCUUAACUGAGGAACUGCAACCAAAACUAUCUUUCUUGAGUGCUGGAGAGGAAAGUGGAAUUCCUAGUGUAGCGGUGAAAUGCGUAGAUAUUAGGAGGAACACCAGUGGCGAAGGCGACUUUCUGGACAGUAACUGACGUUGAGGCACGAAAGCAUGGGUAGCGAACA
rnacentral:rRNA from 1 species